AUGGGCUACGAUGCCCAAACUUGUCUUAAACUCCUGGGGUCAAGUGAUUCUCCCACCUUAGCCUCUCAAAGUGAUAAGAUUACAGGUGGGAGCCAUUGUAUCUGGCCUCUCCUUAGUAUUUUUAUUCUAAGUCCACCAGCAAUGAAUGAGAGUUCCUGUUGCUCCACAUCUUUGCAAGCGUUUGGUGUUGUCAGAGUUCUGGAUUCUGGCUGUUCCAGUAGGUACUGUGGCAGCUCCUUGUUUCAAUUUGUAUUUCCCUCAUGAAAUAUUAUGCAGAGUGUUUUUCAUGUUUGUUCACCAUCUGUAUAUCAUGUUUGGUGAAGUAUCUGUUGAGUCUUUGGCCCAUAUUUUAAUCAGGUUGUUUGCUUUCUUAUUGUUGAGUUUUAAGAGUAUUGUAUGUUUUGGAUAAAGUUCUUUCUCAGUUGUUUUUUUGCAAAUAUUUUCCCUUAAACUAUGGCUUUUCAUUUCAUUCUCUUGACAGUAUCUUUUGCAGAACAGAAAUUUUUAAUUUUAAUGAAGUCCAGAUUAUCAACUCUGUAUUUUGUGUUGCACCUUUGUUGUCAUAUCUAAGAAGUUACUGUCAAAGCCAAGGUCAUCUAGAAUUUCUCCUAUUUAUACUCUAGGAGUUUUAUAUUUUAAGUUUACAUUUAAGUCUAUAAACUGUCUUGAGUUAAUUUUUAUGAAGGGUGUAAAGCAUGCAUCUAGUCAUUUUUUCUAUGUAAAUGUCUACUUGUUCAGGCAGCAUUUGUUGAAAUAUCUUAUACUCAUUGCACUGCUUUUGCUCCUUUGUCAAAGAUCAGCUGACCACAAUUAUAUUUAUGUAUACUUAUAUUUAUUUGACUCUAUUUUUAGGCGUUCUAUUCUGUUCUGCUCAUCAAUUUCCUUAUUCUUUUGAUUACUGUAAAUUAUAUUUAAGUCUUGAAGUUAGGUAGUAUCAGAUCUCUGAUUUUGUUCAGCCAACUUAGAGUUGGCUAUUGUAGGUCUUUAAUCUGUCCAUUUAAACUUUAGAAUCAAUUUGUCAGUAGCUACAAAGUAAUUUGCUGGGAUUUUGAUUGUGAUUGCAUUGAUUCUAUCCAUCAAGUUAGGAAAAACUGAC
rnacentral:lncRNA from 1 species